UAGGGAAUCUUCCGCAAUGGACGCAAGUCUGACGGAGCAACGCCGCGUGAGUGAAGAAGGAUUUCGGUUCGUAAAACUCUGUUGUUAGAGAAGAACAGCGCAUAGAGUAACUGUUAUGCGUGUGACGGUAUCUAACCAGAAAGCCACGGCUAACUACGUGCCAGCAGCCGCGGUAAUACGUAGGUGGCAAGCGUUGUCCGGAUUUAUUGGGCGUAAAGCGAGCGCAGGCGGUCAAUUAAGUCUGAUGUGAAAGCCCCCGGCUCAACCGGGGAGGGUCAUUGGAAACUGGUUGACUUGAGUGGAGAAGAGGAGAGUGGAAUUCGAUGUGUAGCGGUGAAAUGCGUAGAUAGAUGGAGGAACACCAGUGGCGAAGGCGACUAUCUGGUCUGUAACUGACGCUGAGGCUCGAAAGCGUGGGUAGCAAACAGG
rnacentral:rRNA from 1 species